UUUGCGAGGAUGCUGCAUAGAUAGGAGUGGAACUAUGUAGAAUAGAUAUUAGUUUAUUUUUGUAAGAUAUUGGUAAAAUAGAUUAAUAGUCCUUAGAAUAGUUAGUUUAAGAGGACGGAUGAUUGAUUCAAUUAUUAAAAUCGGUUAUUAUAGGAUUACGGUUAGAAUCUAGAAAUCAGUAGUAAUUAUAUAGGAGUUGUAGAAGUUUAUUGGGGGGCCAGACUGUGAUAGUCAUGAGUCGGGGUUAAAUUUGGUGCUUUCUCUUUGUUUCUUUUGUUUUCUUUGUUAUUGAAGAAUAAUGGAUAGUUUCUAAAUACUGAGAAGUGAGUCUGUGGAAUAAAUCAAAGAUUGAUUUAUGAGUUAUUGAUUAUGUAAUUGAAGUAUUGAAAGAUUGAAUUAUAUGAGAAGUUAUUGGAAGAUUGAUUAUGGAUGGAAGAUUAUGAUUCUUGUUUAUUGAGAGUUGUGUGUGUGUUUCGACAGAGGAAGUUUGUGAUUACAGGAAUUCUAAUAAUUCAGAUUGGUUGGAGUGAAGUCUGUUAUUCCUGGUAUUGGAUGGAAUUUAGUGAGUUUUGAGCGGUCUUUUGAGAGUGCAGGGUUGCACAUUGUGGUUAUUAGUUAAUGAAGGAGUAUUGUUAUUGAGAGGAAGCAUUGUAGUAUUUCUUAGUGUUUUAGUGAUUCAGAAUACAAUUAGUUGUGUGUCUCUAACAAGUAAAACUCAUGCGCUUAGUCUUUCCCUGUGUUUGAAUUCCCUUAUACAGAUUUAUUCUGGAAGGAAUUGUAGAAUAAGUAAAAUGACAAUCACAAAGAUGCUCUGAUUUCAAGAGAAUUAUCCAUUGUUAAUCGAAAGUAGCAUCUCUUUCCUUUGGU
rnacentral:lncRNA from 1 species